rnacentral:rRNA from 1 species
GACGAACGCUGGCGGCGUGCUUAACACAUGCAAGUCGUACGGUAAGGCCCUUUCGGGGGUACACGAGUGGCGAACGGGUGAGUAACACGUGAGUAACCUGCCCACAACUUUGGGAUAACGCUAGGAAACUGGUGCUAAUACUGGAUAUGUGCCCCUGCUGCAUGGUGGGGGUUGGAAAGCUCCGGCGGUUGUGGAUGGACUCGCGGCCUAUCAGCUUGUUGGUGGGGUAGUGGCCUACCAAGGCGGCGACGGGUAGCCGGCCUGAGAGGGUGACCGGCCACAUUGGGACUGAGAGACGGCCCAGACGCCUACGGGAGGCAGCAGUGGGGAAUAUUGCACAAUGGGCGCAAGCCUGAUGCAGCAACGCCGCGUGCGGGAUGACGGCCUUCGGGUUGUAAACCGCUUUCAGCAGGGACGAAGCUUUUUGUGACGGUACCUGCAGAAGAAGCACCGGCUAACUACGUG